UUGGAAUCCUACUGGGCCUGAUCUGUUUUCCAUUGCCAAGGCACUGCUGUUUAAGCUAUACCAUAUGAAGCACCCUCCCUAAAGGCUCAGGGGCCAUAGUGAAAGAGGACACAUGGGAUUGUAAGAGCCAGAUUAUGGGGGUGGAGGGUAAAGGCUGAAGCAAGUCCAUCUUGGAUGCUAACUCACUAUGUUAGCUUCUGAUUAACCCCAGUUCCAGGAAGGCUGCUGAAAUUUCCAGUUUAUGUGUUGUUCCUUGUGUAAGAGCAUGGACUUACUGCAAAUCCUGCCCUUAGGGCAAAUUCCUACCUAUUCCUGCGGAAGCAUGUGUAUCAUUCCCCUAUGGUUUAUAACCCCUGAGUCUGGGGGUAAUGGCACGGGGACCCACCAGCUUGUCUGCCGCCAUCUGGGUUUUUUGAGAUGAAGUCUCGUUCUUGUCCCCCAGGCUGGAGUGCAAUGGCAUGAUCUCAGCUCACUGCAACCUCUGCCUCCCGGGUUCAAGCAAUUCUCCUGUCUCAGCCUCCUGAGUAGCUGGAUUACAGAGUCUUUUCUAAGGCACCAACUACUUCCUUCAAGCAGCAGCCAGAGAUCUUUGCUUAAUGGCUGAGAAACACAGAGGAGAGACCCAGAGAGAAGGAGAAGGCCGCAUGAAGAUGGAGCAGAGACUGGAGUUAUUCAGCCAAGUCAAGGAAUGCCUGGAGCACCAGAAGCCGGAAGAGGCAAGGAAGGAUCCUCCCUUAGAGCAUUUGGAAGAGUGUGGCCCUGCCAACACCUUGACUUCAAACUUCUGGCCUCCAUAACUAUGAAAUAAAUUCUUGUUGUUUUAAGCCACCAAGUUUGUGGUAACUUCUUACAGCAACCCUAGGAAAUUAACACACAGAGUGUCAGUUACCUAAACAUUGUGAGCCUCAGUUACCUUAUCUGAAAAUGGGGCUAAAACUUAGACCUACCUUUUAGGGCUGCUUUAAGGAGUAAUAGAAAUUAUACAUGGGAAUUACAUGGCACCAAGUUGUUCCUUAAUAGAGGGAAACUGUUAUGAUGGCG
rnacentral:lncRNA from 1 species